rnacentral:rRNA from 1 species
CAGCAGCCGCGGGAAUACAGAGGGUGCAAGCGUUAAUCGGAAUUACUGGGCGUAAAGCGCGCGUAGGUGGUUUGUUAAGUUGGAUGUGAAAUCCCCGGGCUCAACCUGGGAACUGCAUCCAAAACUGGCAAGCUAGAGUAUGGUAGAGGGUGGUGGAAUUUCCUGUGUAGCGGUGAAAUGCGUAGAUAUAGGAAGGAACACCAGUGGCGAAGGCGACCACCUGGACUGAUACUGACACUGAGGUGCGAAAGCGUGGGAGCAAACAGGAUUAGAUACCCGUGUAGUCCCUGUCUCUUAUACA